AUUGAACGCUGGCGGCAUGCCUUACACAUGCAAGUCGAACGGUAACGGGCCUUCGGGCGCCGACGAGUGGCGAACGGGUGAGUAAUAUAUCGGAACGUACCUUUCAGUGGGGGAUAACGUAGCGAAAGUUACGCUAAUACCGCAUAUUCUGUGAGCAGGAAAGCAGGGGAUCGCAAGACCUUGCGCUGAUUGAGCGGCCGAUAUCAGAUUAGCUAGUUGGUGAGGUAAAGGCUCACCAAGGCGACGAUCUGUAGCGGGUCUGAGAGGAUGAUCCGCCACACUGGAACUGAGACACGGUCCAGACUCCUACGGGAGGCAGCAGUGGGGAAUUUUGGACAAUGGGCGCAAGCCUGAUCCAGCCAUGCCGCGUGAGUGAAGAAGGCCUCGGUUGUAAG
rnacentral:rRNA from 1 species